GCAUCUAAGGACAUUCAUUAGUCUUCCUCUUUUCCAAGUAAUGCUAUGAAUUUUCAUAUUUCUAGGGCAGCUCUCCAGAUGUCCAGCCACAAAGUCUUUCAAAUACCUAGGGGUCAACGGUGCCUAACAAUUAAAGAGAGAUCGAGUGAAUUCAACUGUCUGUCAAGAGUGAAUAUUCAAAACUGUCUGUCAAGAGUGAAUAUUCAAAACUGUCUGUAACUAGCUAGCUACUAUUACAAUGAAUAAGUACACACGUACACGUACCCAACUAGUUCUUUCGCUGUUCUGGAGAUUUCAAGACCACAAACGAAUAUGGUCGGGAACACUUCGUUUUGGUGUUGAAGCAGGUGGCUAUGGAUGUAAGCAGCAUGCUACACGGGUACUUACGAGACCACCGUCUCAUGUGCUGAUGAAAGCAUACGUUCUGCUUCACUGGUGUUGGACCCCAACAGUGCAUCCCAAAUAUUUCUCGCUGGGAGGAGUACUGCUGUACUGGAGCAGAAAAUAACAAUAGACAAAUGAUUAGCUUGAACACUAUAAUCACUGGUAAUCAUUAUUAUAUGUAAAGAUAAGUACUGACAUAAUUAUGUCAUAUGAAUAUCAAAAUUCCUUUGUAUGUAUAUAUAGAUUGCUAGUCAACAGGUUUCAGGUAUUGUUGGCAAACCAAAACUAUAUGAUAUAUUAAAAUGA